rnacentral:rRNA from 1 species
UACAGAGGGUGCGAGCGUUGUCCGGAAUCACUGGGCGUAAAGGGCGCGUAGGUGGCGAGAUAAGCGUGUGGUGAAAGCCCGGGGCUCAACCCCGUGUCUGCCAUGCGGACUGUCUUGCUCGAGCGUAGUAGAGGCAGGUGGAAUUCCGGGUGUAGCGGUGGAAUGCGUAGAGAUCAGGAGGAACACCUGUGGUGUAGACGGCUUUCUGGACCGUAGCUGACGCUGAGACACGAAAGCGUGGGUAGCAAACAGG